UAACUUUUAUUUAAACCAGUUUAAAAUUUGUUUUGAAAACAACCAUAAGACCCAGGUCUGCUGGUUUA
rnacentral:tRNA from 1 species